GUAGGGAAUCUUCCACAAUGGACGAAAGUCUGAUGGAGCAACGCCGCGUGAGUGAAGAAGGUCUUCGGAUCGUAAAACUCUGUUGUUAGAGAAGAACGUGCAUGAUAGUAACUGAUCAUGUAAUGACGGUAUCUAACCAGAAAGCCACGGCUAACUACGUGCCAGCAGCCGCGGUAAUACGUAGGUGGCAAGCGUUGUCCGGAUUUAUUGGGCGUAAAGGGAACGCAGGCGGUUUUUUAAGUCUGAUGUGAAAGCCUUCGGCUUAACCGAAGAAUAGCAUUGGAAACUGGAAGACUUGAGUGCAGAAGAGGAGAGUGGAAUUCCAUGUGUAGCGGUGAAAUGCGUAGAUAUUAGGAAGAACACCAGUGGCGAAGGCGACUUUCUGGACGAAAACUGACGCUGAGGCGCGAAAGCCAGGGGAGCGAACGGGAUUAGAAACCCGUGUAGUCC
rnacentral:rRNA from 1 species